GAAGAAGAAUAGUAAAGAGUUGGAAGAAUUUCAAAAGAGAACAGAAACUUCUAAUGAGAAUUUUACUUCUUAUUAAGAUUAUGGUUGUGAAAUGGGAAAAUAUGGCCUAUUCCUGGGGAAGAAGGGAUCUUCUCUCCAGCAACACAGCUCCGACAGCAGGAUGAUUUAUCGCUCUUGCUUACAAGACCUCAGAGUUUCGGUGAUGGAUUCCUAUGGCUCGCCCUUUAUCCAUGACUCCCAGAAG